UACGUAGGGUGCGAGCGUUGUCCGGAAUUAUUGGGCGUAAAGAGCUCGUAGGCGGUCUGUCGCGUCGAUCGUGAAAACUUGGGGCUUAACCCUGAGCUUGCGGUCGAUACGGGCAUGGUCUGGAGUUCGGCAGGGGAGACUGGAAUUCCUGGUGUAGCGGUGAAAUGCGCAGAUAUCAGGAGGAACACCGGUGGCGAAGGCGGGUCUCUGGGCCGAUACUGACGCUGAGGAGCGAAAGCCAGGGGAGCAAACGGGG
rnacentral:rRNA from 1 species